rnacentral:rRNA from 1 species
GACGAACGCUGGCGGCGUGCUUAACACAUGCAAGUCGAACGAAGUGGCGAACGGGUGAGUAAUACGUGGGUAACCUGCCCUCCUUUUUGGGAUAAGCCUUGGAAACGGGGUCUAAUACCGAAUAAAGGGGGAUGGGCUCGCGGCCUCUCAGCUGUGUGGUGGGGUGGUGGCCUACCAAGGCGGUGACGGGUGGCCGGGCUGAGAGGGUGACCGGGCACAUUGGGACUGAGGUACGGCCCAGACUUCCACGGGAGGCAGCAGGUGGGGAUAUUGCACAAUGGGGGAAAGGCCUAUGCAGCGACGCCGCGGGGGGGAUGAAGGCCUUCGGGUUGUUAAACUCUUUCGCUAUCGAAAGGGUAGGUGGAGAAGAAGCGCCGGCUAACUACGUGCCAGCAGCCGCGGUAAUUC